AGAGUUUGAUUAUGGCUCAGGAUGAACGCUGGCGGCGUGCUUAACACAUGCAAGUCGAACGGGCUCAUAUUGAAACCUAGUGAUGUAUGAGUUAGUGGCGGACGGGUGAGUAACGCGUGGAGAACCUGCCGUAUACUGGGGGAUAACACUUAGAAAUAGGUGCUAAUACCGCAUAAGCGCACAGCUUCGCAUGAAGCAGUGUGAAAAACUCCGGUGGUAUACGAUGGAUCCGCGUCUGAUUAGCUGGUUGGCGGGGUAACAGCCCACCAAGGCGACGAUCAGUAGCCGGCCUGAGAGGGUGAACGGCCACAUUGGGACUGAGACACGGCCCGAACUCCUACGGGAGGCAGCAGUGGGGAAUAUUGCACAAUGGGGGAAACCCUGAUGCAGCGACGCCGCGUGAGUGAAGAAGUAUUUCGGUAUGUAAAGCUCUAUCAGCAGGGAAGAAAAUGACGGUACCUGACUAAGAAGCCCCGGCUAACUACGUGCCAACAGCCGCGGUA
rnacentral:rRNA from 1 species